GGUGAUGUGAUUUCCCCUUUUCAAAAUGCUUUUAUUAGUAGAAGAUAAAUAUGGGACAACAUUAUCCUAAGGGAUGAGGCUAUAAAGAAAAUCCAAUAAAAAAAAUCGGGUGCUGACCUUCUUGAGGUCUCAAAUUGGGCAUGAACCAGGCAAUUAUUAGAUUAAGCUGGAUCUUGAUUGAAGCAGUUCUUGAAUAAAUGGGUUUGUCUAAGUGGUGGGUUGAUCGAAUUCUUUCUUAUAUUUUUACAGUAAGC
rnacentral:lncRNA from 1 species